GGCUCAGGACGAACGCUGGCGGCGUGCCUAACACAUGCAAGUCGAACGGAGUUGAGGAGCUUGCUCCUUAACUUAGUGGCGGACGGGUGAGUAACGCGUGAGUAACCUGCCUCUGAGAGGGGAAUAACGUUCUGAAAAGAACGCUAAUACCGCAUAACACAUAUUUGCCGCAUGACAGAUAUGUCAAACAUUUUUAUCGCUCGGAGAUGGACUCGCGUCCGAUUAGUUAGUUGGUGAGGUAACGGCUCACCAAGACCGCGAUCGGUAGCCGGACUGAGAGGUUGAUCGGCCACAUUGGGACUGAGACACGGCCCAGACUCCUACGGGAGGCAGCAGUGGGGGAUAUUGCGCAAUGGGGGCAACCCUGACGCAGCAACGCCGCGUGAAGGAUGAAGGUUUUCGGAUUGUAAACUUCUUUUCUCAGGGACGAAGAAUGACGGUACCUGAGGAAUAAGCUCCGGCUAACUACGUGCCAGCCGCCGC
rnacentral:rRNA from 1 species